UCACUUGGGAAUGUGCGAUUGAAUAUUUGUCACCUAACCGUUCCAUCUCGUUCGAUUAGAACAACCGGGUACACCCACUCAAUACUAUAAAAUCUGGACAGGUAUGUAGACCCAUAAAUGAUGGAGUUUUUUCCGGCAUGCAGUAAUUCGUUGGGCACCAGGAAUGCGUAAUGUUCCACGUUUGUUAUUACUGAAUUCGCAUGAACCAUGAAUGAAACGAGAUCCGGCCAUGAAUGGGGGCCCUUUUACUACUCGCUCUAUUUUCCAAUUCAUUGGUGUUGUAGUGCUUUUUGUGCUCCUAUGUGUUGUAGGUUUAUUCUUCUCUUCGUUCUAUUGAAGCUUAGUUCAUUUGAAACGUUCUACGAUGAGGAAUUAUCGAAUUUAGGAUAGACCAUUUCGAGUAUGAGUCGUAUAUAAGUCAUAAUUCCUAUUCUUGAUUUGUCAAUCAAUGGAAAUCACACCAAAGCUCAGCGUUUCUUCAAUAUACUCUGAGAAAACAGCUGAUUUCUAAACAUGUACUUUUGAAGAUUGAACCUUGAUAAUACAAAGUGCGAUAGCUUUCUCUGAAAUAUGCAGUCUUGUUGGAAUUUGGUAUUGGAGCUUCUUUAUAUCUGGUGGAGGAUAUUUGGCGAUAACGUCAAAUGUUUUUUAAGUAUUGGGGAACUUUCCAUUUGGAUUUAGGUGAAAAAGUGAGUUUUAGGUACAUCUUUAUUUGAAAAAUACCACUGCAAAAUUUCAUUUUAUAUAUUAUUAUAUUUAUGUACAGGGUGUUCUAAAAAAAGGUACAUAGCAUGCUCUAGUAUAGGUAAAAAAUCGAAAAACAAUUGGGUUUGCUUAGUAGUAGUAACGCCAUAGGCGUCGUAGCCAGGGUUGAGUUUCGGGGGGAGUUUGAAAUAGAAUUUUUCUGAUUUUGACAUAUAAAUAGAGACUCUUUGAAACUAAUAUUAUGUACCUAUAUUAUUUCGGGGGGGUUUGAACCCCCAAACCCCCCCUGGCUACGGCCGUGAGUAACGCCAUCCGUAUUUACGAUAAAGGGCGUUGAAAUUUUAUAAGAAUAUGUCUCGGAAGCUGAUACAUCCCAUGAAUUUGUUUUUACAUCUGACUCUCAUAGAGGGCGCUAAUUAGACGGUUAGUACCAAGUAGUAUUAGGGAAUCCAAACCACGUUACUUUCAACUGUCAAUAUGGCGCCUGGUUGGCAAACAGAGA